rnacentral:lncRNA from 1 species
CUUGGCACCUCACAUAAGCAUUUGGGGUGUGCCAGAGGCUCUGUGUAUCCAGACUUGCUAAUGCACUGGUGUAGCUGUUUCUACUUAUCAGUCACUUUGCACAUGUGAGAUCAUUGUUCUGAAGUUGUGGCAACAAUUGCUGCAAAAAUAUGGAUUGGACCAACUCUAGGGCCAUUAUGGAGCAAAUCAGCAUGCAAGUCUAAAGGCAAGAAAAUAGAAUAUCUUCGCCAGCUAGUACCAACAUACUGUACUGAUGCCUGUAAAUCAGGUUUUUACCCUUUCCUCCUUCAUGAAAGAACUGCAUAUUAA